UCCGGGUUUCGCCCGGCAGUCUCCCUAGAACAUUCAACUAAGGACAGGGGUUGCGCUCGUUGCGGGACUUAACCCAACACCUCGCGGCACGAGCUGACGACAGCCAUGCACCACCUGCGCAGAAGUCCCUUGCGGGAGGUGCUCACUUUCGUGAGCAUUUCCUCUGCAUGUCAAACCCAGGUAAGGUGGGGAUGACGUCGGAGGAAUUCCA
rnacentral:misc_RNA from 1 species